CCCUGUAGCAAGCGUGUUGAGUGCUGGUGGACAAAGCCAGUUUAGUCAGAGCCCGGCUAUGUUGGCGAGGUUCAUGUAAUCCAUGACCUUGACCAUAAAUGACCCCCUGCCAUGGCGGCUGUCACGGCAGCUGCCACAAUAAUUUACCAUUACGUGUGGUUAAGAAAGUCCACCAUAUAUGUAGGUCUGCCAUGGCUUGGUUGUCUAGGGACAGCCCCUGA